GGAUUAGAUACCCUGGUAGUCCACGCUGUAAACGAUGUCUACUAGCCGUUGGUCUCCUUGAGGGGGCAGUGGCGCAGCUAACGCGAUAAGUAGACCGCCUGGGGAGUACGGCCGCAAGGUUAAAACUCAAAUGAAUUGACGGGGGCCCGCACAAGCGGUGGAGCAUGUGGUUUAAUUCGAUGCAACGCGAAGAACCUUACCAGGUCUUGACAUCCCGAGAAGUCGCUAGAGAUAGCUUCGUGCCUUCGGGAACUCGGUGACAGGUGCUGCAUGGCUGUCGUCAGCUCGUGCCG
rnacentral:rRNA from 1 species